UACAGAGGGUGCAAGCGUUAAUCGGAAUUACUGGGCGUAAAGCGCGCGUAGGCGGCUGUCUAAGUCGGGUGUGAAAGCCCCGGGCUCAACCUGGGAACUGCAUUCGAUACUGGACGGCUAGAGUAUGAGAGAGGGAGGUAGAAUUCCACGUGUAGCGGUGAAAUGCGUAGAUAUACGGAGGAACACCAGCGGCGAAGGCGGGUAGCUGGGCCAACACUGACGCUGAUGUGCGAAAGCUAGGGUAGCAAACGGG
rnacentral:rRNA from 1 species